UACGAGGGGGGCAAAUGUUGUUCGGAAUCCCUGGGCGUAAAGGGAGCGUAGGCGGGCUCUUAAGUUAGGUGUUUAAUCCCGGGGCCCAACCCCGGACAGGCACCUAAAACUGGGAGUCUUGAAUAGUGGAGAGGUCGGCGGAAUUGGGGGUGUAGCGGUGGAAUGCGUAGAGAUCCCCAAGAACACCAGUUGCGAAGGCGGCCGACUGGACACAUAUUGACGCUGAGGCUCGAAAGCAUGGGGAGCAAACAGG
rnacentral:rRNA from 1 species